AUGCAUGUCUAUAAUAAAUAUUGCAGAUCUCGUUGAGUUGAUCUUGAUAUAGGUCAGCGUUGGAGGGGAAACAACUUCGCCGACAUAAUUUUAUGGUUUCCCAAGGAUAAGCUUAGCGUCCUUAAACAAGCACUUAUCAGAUCAUAACAUGAAUUUGCAACAUUGCCUCGUGUAUUGAGCAUAUUGAGAUAAUUGUAGAAAUAUUCCUUCGGGUAUUCUUGCCACUAACCUUUCCAGGAUUAGAGCAA
rnacentral:lncRNA from 1 species